GUUCCGAGACCUGCGGUUUCCUAAACCGUAGGUCAGGGGUUCGAAUCCCUUCCGGGACG
rnacentral:tRNA from 1 species